CUCCCGGCCAACGUCACUAUCGGUGCUGCCUCCGUGUGAUCCGGCCAGGGCGGCUUUCUCCGGAGCCCCCCGGCUGCAGAAUGACGUCCAUGUUUCGCUCCAGCUCAUCCCAUCCUCCCAUGGGACAGGGGAGAGAAAUGGCUGCAGAGGCGCCAGUUCAGGGGCCAGUGAUCUUUGAGGAGGUGGCUGUGUAUUUCAC